GGAUAUUACUUUUUGUUAUUUUCGGCCAAUGAUGUAAUGAUAUGUGAAAUAAUUUUUUCACGUGUCAUUGUGUUAUUGGCUGAAAAGAGCAAAACAGUAUUAUCU
rnacentral:pre_miRNA from 1 species